rnacentral:rRNA from 1 species
GAUGAACGCUGGCGGCGUGCCUAAUACAUGCAAGUCGAGCGAACAGACGAGGAGCUUGCUCCUCUGACGUUAGCGGCGGACGGGUGAGUAACACGUGGAUAACCUACCUAUAAGACUGGGAUAACUUCGGGAAACCGGAGCUAAUACCGGAUAAUAUAUUGAACCGCAUGGUUCAAUAGUGAAAGACGGUUUUGCUGUCACUUAUAGAUGGAUCCGCGCCGCAUUAGCUAGUUGGUAAGGUAACGGCUUACCAAGGCAACGAUGCGUAGCCGACCUGAGAGGGUGAUCGGCCACACUGGAACUGAGACACGGUCCACACUCCUACGGGAGGCAGCAGUAGGGAAUCUUCCGCAAUGGGCGAAAGCCUGACGGAGCAACGCCGCGUGAGUGAUGAAGGUCUUCGGAUCGUAAAACUCUGUUAUUAGGGAAGAACAAAUGUGUAAGUAACUAUGCACGUCUUGAAGUUACCUAAACAGAAAGCCACGGCUAACUACGUG